CUGGUACGGUGCGCCUGGCCCACGGUUGCAAAACCGCGAGUGUCGGUGUGCGCCUGCCAUCUUUCUAGUUAACUGGACGCACUUAACUGGGCGGUCAGCGAUCUAGUUCUUUUACUUUGAAAAAAUUAGAGUGUUUAAAGCAGGCUUGCGCUAUGAAUACAUUAGCAUGGAAUAAUAAUUUAGGACUUUAUUCCUAUUUAUUGGUUUCUGGAGUAGAGUAAUGAUUGAUAGGGAUAGUUGGGGGUGCUAGUAUUCAUCGGCCAGAGGUGAAAUUCUUGGAUUCGAUGAAGACUAACUAAUGCGAAAGCAUUC
rnacentral:rRNA from 1 species